rnacentral:rRNA from 1 species
ACAUACAACCAUAGGGUGUGGAGAACAGGGCUUCCCGUCCGCUCAGCCGUACUUAAGCCACACGCCGGUAAGUUAGUAGUUAGGUGGGUGACCACUAGCGAAUCCUUACUGUUGUAUGUU